rnacentral:misc_RNA from 1 species
UCUUAGCCCUGAUAGUAGCGGUUACCCCGCAACACGGAGCUGGAGAUGAGAGGGUUUUAGCGUUGGAGCGCAUUGUGGCGUGAGGAGUAUGAGCGAAUAGCAGGAAAUAGC